AGUAGCAGUGAAGAAGAGGCCUGCACCUCCAGGAAGUAGCAAAGGAAAAGCAUCUGAUUUAGUGCCAUGUAAUCCAAAAGGCGAGAAGGCCAGUGAUGUCAGCCAGCAGUCGAAGAAGCGUCGUCCUCUUAGGAAGAACAAAAAUAAGGUUAUUGGAGACACUGAUGACGAUACGGUGAGUAGCCGACAAUCUGAUCCUACCUUGGAAGAUGAUGUCUAGCACCCUUUCAUUGAAGCAUAAUAAAAAAUGGAACCAACGUCCCAUUCUCUUUCAACAGCAGUUUAUUUUCAACAAUUUCAGCAUUUGUUUCAAACUUUGUCCUUUCUUUUAUCCACU